ACCAUUAUCUAUCUUUAGCAAUCUCUCAUUUUGAUAAUCUGAGUUUGGUUAAUUUCAGGACCGCUCACUCAUUCAAGAAUCAGAUUUGGAGUUCCAAAAGCUUAAGUGAUCUUUUUGAGCAAAUGAGGCAGAGCGGGGAUUAGAUUCCCUUAACCAUAUCCUGUGGAAGAUGAAGGAGUUUACAGAAUUUGUCUUUUUUGUGAAAAAGGCGUUGAUGAUGAUUGUUAUCCAGACUGGAAUCAUGACCUCCUUGUGGCAUGGAAGAUUCUGGCAAUUGAGAAGCUUCCAAGGUUUCCACAUACCAUAAUUCUCGAAGGUGGAAGCAUCCAUGUAGAUGGAGAAGGGACUUACCUCACUACUGAGGAGUGCCUGCUAAAUAAAAACAGGAACCUAAUUUGAUGAAGGAGCAAAUAAAGGAUCAACUUAAGGCAUAUCUUGGAGUGACGAAGAUUAUUUGGUUCCCCUGUGGAUUGUAUGUUGCAGGCACAAGACUUGCAGCUUCUUAUGUGAAUUUCUACGUUGCCAAUGGAGCAAUCAUUGCGCCACAAUUUGGGGACCAAAAAUGGGACGAUGAGGCUGUCCGAGUCCUAUCGAAAGCCUUUCCAUACCAUGAAGUAAGCUGAGUUUAUUAACUUUUAUUAUCACAAUUGAUAUCAAGUUCAAUGGUCCUAAAGUUUGUGUACUAUCUAAAGCCUUUCCAUGCCAGAAACUUUGUGAUAUUGUGAUCCUAAUGAGCUGUUUUAACUGUACAAACAAUUACUAGUGUGUACUGUGCUAGGCUUAAUAUAGAUUGUAAACUGGAAUCAAAUAUAAAACAGAACGGCUCGAUGCUCUCAAUGCUAGUGUAAACAAACAAUUAAAAAUUGUAGAUCAAGACGGAUUGAUACUCUCAUAUCUUA